AUCGCUCUUUGAAAAAUAAUAAUAAAGAGUACUGCCUGCCCAGUGACAAAAGUUAAACGGCCGCGGUAUUUUGACCGUGCAAAGGUAGCAUAAUCAUUUGUUCUUUAAUUGAGGACUAGAAUGAAAGGCAACACGAAAACUUAACUGUCUCCUUCUUAAAAAAAGAAAUUAGUAUUUUUGUGAAGAAACAAAAAUAAAAAUGUAAGACGAGAAGACCCUGUCGAGCUUAAGAAAAUUUUUAUAAGAAAAUAAAUAAGUUAAAAUAAAUAUAUUACUAAAAACUAAAAAUAAAAAUAUCUUUGGUUGGGGCAACCACGAAGAAAAAGAAACCUUCGUUCUAAAAAAGAAAUUAACAAAUUAAAAACUUUAUAAAAGAAAAGGAUCCAGAAUAUACUGAUCAAAGAAAAAAGUUACCGCAGGGAUAACAGCGUUAUUCUCUUUAAGAGCUCGUAUUGACAAGAGAGUUUGCGACCUCGAUGUUGGACCGGGGCACCCAAGAGGUGUAGCAGCCUCUAAAGGUAGGUCUGUUCGACCUUUAAAGCCCUACGUGAU
rnacentral:rRNA from 1 species